rnacentral:rRNA from 1 species
AACGAACGCUGGCGGCAUGCCUAACACAUGCAAGUCGAACGAGACCUUCGGGUCUAGUGGCGCACGGGUGCGUAACGCGUGGGAACCUGCCCUUAGGUUCGGAAUAACUCCCCGAAAGGGGUGCUAAUACCGGAUAAUGUCUUCGGCCCAAAGAUUUAUCGCCUUUGGAUGGGCCCGCGUUGGAUUAGCUAGUUGGUAGGGUAAAAGCCUACCAAGGCGACGAUCCAUAGCUGGUCUGAGAGGAUGAUCAGCCACACUGGGACUGGGACGCGGCCCAGACUCCUACGGGAGGCAGCAGUGGGGAAUAUUGGACAAUGGGCGAAAGCCUGAUCCAGCAAUGCCGCGUGAGUGAUGAAGGCCUUAGGGUUGUAAAGCUCUUUUACCCGGGAUGAUAAUGACAGUACCGGGAGAAUAAGCUCCGGCUAACUCCGUG